rnacentral:rRNA from 1 species
AUCGAACGCUGGCGGCAGGGCUAACACAUGAAAGUCGAGCGAGCGGCGGACGGGUGAGUACUGUUUGGGAAACUGCCUGAUGGGGGGGGAUAACUACUGGAAACGGUAGCUAAUACCGCAUACCAUCAGAUGUGCCCAGAGGGGAAUAGCUAGUAGGUGGGGUAACGGCUCAACUAGGCGACGAUCCCUAGCUGGUCUGAGAGGAUGACCAGCCACACGGGAACUGAGACACGUUCCAGCCUCCUACGGGAGGCAGCAGUGGGGAGUAUUGCACAAUGGGCGCAAGCCUGAUGCAGCCAUGCCGCGUGUGUGAAGAAGGCCUUCGCGUUGUAAAGCACUUUCAGCGGGGAGGCGUUACCCGCAGAAGAAGCAACGGCUAACUCCGUGCCAGCAGCCGCGGUAAUUC